UCCUUUGUCUUUCAACUCUCUCUCCAAAAAACCACUUCCAAAGACACACAAACAAAGUGGUUUUCAACCGUCCGAUCACUUACUAAUGGCUGACGUGGCAGAAAGCGAGCGGAGGAUCCUCGUGGCCGUCGAUGAAGGAGAGGAGAGCAUGCAUGCUCUCUCUUGGUGCCUCAAGAACGUUGUUUCUCAGAAUUCCAAAGAUACCCUUAUCCUACUCUACGCCAAGCCCCCGAGAGCAGUGUACACGGCUCUAGAUGGCACAGGUAGGAGAGAGGAUCCAUCAGGGUAUUUGUUUUCCUCGGAUAUUUUGGCGGCGAUGGAGAAGUACGGCGCUGAGGUGGCGGCCUGCGGUAAAAUGGUCAUUUUGAUUUUGGAAUUUUGAUUUGGCGAUUGUACCCCUCUGGGCCAGGUUAAGGUGGAGGCGCGAGUAGAGAAUGGUGAUCCGAGGGAUGUGAUUUGCCAGAUGGCCGAGCAGCUUGGUGCUGACCUGUUGGUCAUGGGAAGCCAUGGCUAUGGUCUCAUCAAAAGGGCAUUCCUCGGGAGCGUGAGCAACCACUGUGCACAGAAUGUGAAGUGUCCUGUGUUGAUUGUGAAGAAGCCAAAAACAAAUGCUGGCAGCAAAUGACUUUGUUAUCCUCUUCUGUUUUUUUUUGGCCUCUAUAUUUUUGUUUUGGUGGUGAAUUUUUCUCUGUAUUUUUUCUUUCGGUAUGCGACUCGUGCUGUAACUAUUUAUAUUUAAAUUGAGCUAAGCAGUGAGAAUUUUAUGGUAUAAGAGCCUACGGAAUAAAUCAUCGACGUUUUCUUUGAUC